UGCCGCCGGGAGAGGUAGCUGAGCUCUGGACCGUGUGGCUCCGAGGUCCGGAGCUGCCCCCAGUCGGGUCGCAGGCCCCAGUGGCGGCGGUGCGUUUCGCAGAGGGCGCGGGCCUGGCGCGCUGCAUCUGAGCCAGGAUGCUCUUUUCUUGCCCUGCAGUUGCCUACCCCGACCCCUUAGAGGGUGGAGAUUCCUCCCGCUCCUUCCGGCUGCUCCCGGAGUCGGAGAAAAGAUGUGGAAUUAGGCUGGAGCGAAAAUUCCGCGUGCUCUAUAAUUACGCACACACUAAAAUCUUCACCGUUGACUUAAGUUACUUGGCGCUGCGAAGGCUGCGGCCCUGCAUAUUGAUUAAACGCAGGCUCUAUUUACCUAAACAAUUCAUGUAGAGAUUAGCAACGUUCACUUGAUCACAAGAAUGGGAUUGACAAUUAAGGGGCAACACAUCCCAGAUGUAGCGGAGCCUCUGGAAGGCGAGAGGGUGAGCGGCAGGCGGCUUGCUGAGGGGCGCUCCGGGGACACUGGCAGCGGCCACCCGAGCGCAGGGGACAGCGGGAAAAGCGGCGCGGAGGCACGGCAGGGACUAGGGGAGGCCUAGCUGCGUCCCGGCCACCAGCAGGCCCGGGAGGGAGGCUCGCAGCUGGUUUUGAGGGAGCUGCUCCCCCCACCCCGCGCCCCUAGGCAUCUGGAGCUCCGAGCCUGCCUCCCCGCGGCGAUGUCACCUGCCUCAAGCCGCCCGGCUUGCGUAUCCCUGGCUGGGAAGGAGCACGGACGCUGCUGCCUGUGUCCGACACAAACAAAAGGAUUUGUCCCAGACACCCAAGAACAAGCCAGGACGAAGCUCUUUCCCGCCAAACGAAGACCGGGAAGUGAACAGCGCCUGCCCAGGCUCCGGAAGCCAGAGCCGGGAGGACAGGGCGGUAAGAGAAUCUGGGGGACCGAAGGAGGGAGAACCCCAGAGCUGGGGAGAGGAGGCUGGGAAAAGGAAGAGGGAGGAGGAAGGGGGCGAGGGGACGUUGUAAGGGUCCCCUCCCCCAUUUCAGAGCUGAAGACGGCCGAGGAGGAGGACGAAGACGAAAAGGCAAAGGAGAAGGAGAAGGAGGUGAGACAAAGGGAUCCCCCCUCCUCUGGGACGAGGAAAGUGCGCUCAUCCAUUCCCUGCAGGCUUUGGAAAAACUGGCAGAGAUCUCGCCGUGAGAAGUCACCCACGACAGUCUGCCGCAAACGGACUCAGGGCCGGGCAGGAGGGCGGGCUCGAGGGCGGGGGCCAGCUUUGAUCCCUGGGCUCUGCGGUAAUUUUGUCUUUGCCACACAGAUUAGCUGGAGGAGCCAGCCCCGGCGGCGAGGAGUUCCGUUCCGUGGAGUCCCCUAUUUCAGAGCUGAAGAGAGGAGGACGAAGACGAAAAGGCAAAGGAGAAGGAGAAGGAGGUG
rnacentral:lncRNA from 1 species